rnacentral:rRNA from 1 species
UACGUAGGGUGCGAGCGUUGUCCGGAAUUAUUGGGCGUAAAGAGCUCGUAGGCGGUUUGUCGCGUCUGCUGUGAAAACUCGGGGCUUAACUCCGGGCCUGCAGUGGGUACGGGCAGACUAGAGUGCGGUAGGGGAGACUGGAAUUCCUGGUGUAGCGGUGAAAUGCGCAGAUAUCAGGAGGAACACCCGUGGCGAAGGCGGCUCUCUGGGACGGUACUGACGCUGAGACGCGAAAGCGUGGGGAGCGAACAGG